GCCGAAUGCAUUUUAUGCAUCUAAUUUUUUUUUAUUAAGAAACUAAUAAAAUAAUAUAAUUUUAUUUGUAAAAUAAUUGAUAGAUCAGUAGUUAACUUGAAAAACCUUUAAUUUUUUAUUAUGGUAACUUUUAUGAAAUUAAAUUGAAAUUCAUGAAAGAAAUUAAAGUUUAAUAACUUUUAUGAAAAUAUUCAUAAGUAGAGUAAUAUUUACCCUAUAAUGUACUCACUAUCAAAUUCUUAUAGGGCCUACUUUCCACAUUUUCAAGUGAAUUCCAUAUGAAUUUGAAAAAAUUGCACAAAAUUCAGUGUAGAAUAAUUUCUCUGUGCACACAUGAUAUUUAACGCAGUUGACCAAUACUGGAGUCCUUUUUUGCUUUCAGUAGUAGUUUUUAUUAGAAAAAGGAAAAGGUUAACCUUUUCAUUUUUUUUUAUGGUAUUUCAUUUUUUUUAUGGUAUUUCAGUAACGAGGAAAUAGUUGCUUUAAGCAGAACAGAGGCUCGUGGGACACGCCGGUGGUAAAUAUUCAAGCAUAUGGCUGAUUUUAUGAUUGUAAAUGUGGACCAGCUGGUUUAACGUAGACCCAUUUGUUAAAAGGCAUCUUUCAUUCACGUUUACUCAUACAUAGAGCCUGUGUAGCAGUAGACACAGUCCAGUAGUAGCUCUAUAUAUAUUAGACCUGGGAGAUCCGGUUCAACUCUUCCCUCCCCCUACAUGUAUAAUAUUAAAAAAUGUACAUAGAGCCUGUAUUUGUAUACAUGAUAAAGCGUUGAAAGUAUUGGAAGUAACUUCGAUGUUGACGGUGAAGUGGCUAAUAGUACAAGCAUACCAAGACUUUGAGACUUAUGAUUGUGGUGCUGCGUAAAAGGAAUAUUGGACUUGAAACGCAAAGUUUCAGGUUUAGCAUUCAAAGCAUAGAAUGUAGCUGUAUAACAAAGAAAAAUGGAUCUUCAGGUUCGAUGUAAGCUAAAGUUGACUGCAGAGAUCUAAUCAACUUGUUAAAUAAAACAUGUAUUGACAACAAGGGAAGUGAAUGAUUUGAAGUUUGUUUGGAGAGGAAGAAAAUGGAAAAAGAAACUCAAAUCAAAGUCAUAACAUUAAAUAAAUUUAUUACCCUUAAAAGUCAAAUAUGAUAAACAUAAGAAACUAGCAAAACAUAGAUUGGGUUCUAACAACGAGGAACUUUACAAAGGCUAUUUAGAUAUAAAUAUGCGCAGCCAGCUCAUAGCCCAAGAUCACCCUCCUCCUUGAAACAAAGUAGAAAUGAAAGAGUACCUCUGUCAUCACCAUCUUUACUCUCAAUAUGAUCCCAACAUCUGCUGAGAAGUUCUCAAUUAAGCAACUGUUGCAGUCUUCUCUACAAUCCCUUCUUUUAGUGUCUGAGGGGAACCAUUCAUCAGAUUUCCAGUCUUGGCAUCCACUGUUUCCUUGUAUGCAGCUGAAUGAACACCAAGAGCAGCACGACCAGAAGGGUCAGGAUUUUUGGCCCAUGCUGCAUCCCAUUCCACUGCUUUUGCAGUACUGCACGCAACACUUGGUCCUCCAGGAACUGUCGACCUUGCAGCAUUCUUAGGGAAGAAUUUCUCAAAGAUGGUUCUGUAGUAGUAUGCCUCCUUUGUGGUAGGAGUAUUUUCAGGGUAAAUAAAGCUAGCAUUCAUCAACAUUGCAUCUGUGACUUGUUUGUUUGCAUGGUCUCUCAGACCAUCAAUCCAGCUAUACCCAACUCCAUCACUGAACUGUUCCUUCUGCCUGUACAAUAUGUGCUUUGGAAGGUACGGAUUCUUCUCAUCAUCAAUGUUGCAAUGAGCAUAGAUCCAGAGUGGAAAAUGGUAUAACCCUAUUGACCUGGGGCUUACAUAAUGUGCUUUAAUGUUUAAUCCUUGAGAAAGUACUUUAUUAUAUAAUAAGCUCUUAUAACUACUAACAGAACAAAAUAUAAUAAAGUAAUAUAACCUAGUCAUUACAUGAGCAAGUGCUGAAUAAAACCAGACCAAAAGAAUUUCUCACCCAUCCCAUCUAGGGAGGGUGAUACAAAUAUUCAAAAACUCGCAGUCAGGCACAACCUUUUCAAAAUGAUAUAUAAUCUUACGCAUAAGUAUAUGCAUGAUCUCAUCUUUCAUAUUCAGGGCUUAAAUAAUAUCGCUUCUGUGGUUUGUUUGUUUUCUAAUUUGGCACUUGAUGGAAGGUUGCAUGCCGUAAAAUGUCAGGCAUGUUGGGAACUGUUUUGACACUUUACACUAUAUGCUACUGCUUUAGUAAUUUUAUUUGCAUAAAAAUCAAAACUAUGUCAAUAGAAUUGUUGUUGUGCUUUAAAAUUGGCAAGUCUUUACUGUCUGUUCAUGAAUGCUGACAAAUUGUUUAGAAGGUUAAAUGUUUGAGAUUCUCUUCCAUUGGUUAUUAUGAUAUUACAAAAGUUACUUGCAUUUAUAAUAAUCACAGAUCAGGUCUGAUCUUAAAAGGAUAGAGAAGUGGGUCU
rnacentral:misc_RNA from 1 species